rnacentral:rRNA from 1 species
UACGUAGGUGGCGAGCGUUGUCCGGAUUUACUGGGCGUAAAGGGAGCGUAGGCGGAUUUUUAAGUGAGAUGUGAAAUACUCGGGCUCAACUUGAGUGCUGCAUUUCAAACUGGAAGUCUAGAGUGCAGGAGAGGAGAAUGGAAUUCCUAGUGUAGCGGUGAAAUGCGUAGAGAUUAGGAAGAACACCAGUGGCGAAGGCGAUUCUCUGGACUGUAACUGACGCUGAGGCUCGAAAGCAUGGGGAGCAAACAGG